rnacentral:tRNA from 1 species
GCAAUUAUAGCUUAUAAUUUAAAGCAUUGGUCUUGUAAGCCAAAGAUGAAUAAUAUAUUCUUAUUGCUA